UAAAAUUUCAAAAAUCGAGAGAGCGGCAAACUUUCAAAAACUCCAGUUUCUCACAACGGCUUCAACUUACAGUCACACACAUAUCUUUCAAACCCCUAAAUUACAGAUUUUUUCGAAACCCUAGCCGAUCAUACGUUCAAAUUCAACCACAUAACAAUUCCAAAUUCGAUUUAAUAUUAAAGCGUCUCGAUUUUUGCCAAUUCAUCAACUUCUGUUAAAGAUCGUCGAAAAUGGGCGUCGAAAACUACCACGUCAUUGAGCUUGUUGGUGAGGGUUCUUUUGGUAAAGUUUACAAAGGAAGAAGAAAAUACACUGGUCAGACUGUUGCGAUGAAGUUUAUAGUGAAGCAUGGAAAGAGUGAAAGAUCUUCAUAACCUAAGGCAGGAAAUUGAGUGAUGAAGCUUCGACAAGUACAAGUGGUGGUCCACGCGUUAUGGGUUCGCAAUUGUUAAAAGAACACAAAUGAAGGCCAUGAAAGAAGGCGCGCAGAUGAUGAAUAUGACGAUGAACGUACAGGAUCUCAUAAUUCAAUAGAUGUU